AAUUAUGAUUAGAUUUUAUAUACAUUUUAAAUGAUUCAAUUUCGAUGUUUGAUAUAUUUGAUGAUGAUAUAAUGUUUGUGUAAUUCACUUUGUGAUUAUUUGACUAUACGUGACUAUUUGACUACUUGAUUCUAUUUGAUGUAAAUACAUGAUUAGAUACUCAGGUAUGUAUAUAUACUAGUUAAAUAAAUGUAUAUACUUGUAUAAUAUUAUGUGUAGCCUUGUGACAUCAUCACGAUGGUAACUUGUGUACGAGUGAUUCACCCCUUACAACAGUUAGUGCAGGAUUCUAAGAACUCAAGUUGAAGUUCAUUGAGAAAAGGAAAACGUGAUUGUGAGAGACAUUAAUUAUAAUACAAGGACCGUUAGUGUUGAUUAGUGAUCUAGUUUAUCUUUGGAGCCUGAAGAGAAAGAUCUCUUUGAUAUGUAUUGAUGACGUCAUUGGAGUACUCUCUAGGUGACAUGUAUCUUAGUGUUUGACCAGCUCGUGAUCGUUUAUGGGUUAGAGUCUUUUGUAGGAAUUUAUCUUUUUAGCAUUUUAAAUUGAAAAAUUGUAAGACACUUAUGUGAAAUGGAAAUGUUUUAUAUUUGAAAAUUCUUUGAGCAAAAUUACUUGAUGAUUGUUUGAUAUAAGUGAUGCAUAUUAUUGAUGGG
rnacentral:lncRNA from 1 species